rnacentral:misc_RNA from 1 species
GAUGAAGAACGCAGUGAAAUGCGAUAAGUAAUGUGAAUUGCAGAAUUCAGUGAAUCAUCGAAUCUUUGAACGCACAUUGCGCCCGCCAGUAUUCUGGCGGGCAUGCCUGUUCGAGCGUCAUUUCAACCAUCAAGCCCCCGGCUUGUGUUGGGGACCUGCGGCUGCCGCAGGCCCUGAAAAGCAGUGGCGGGCUCGCUGUCACACCGAGCGUAGUAGCAUACAUCUCGCUCUGGGCGUGCUGCGGGUCCCGGCCGUUAAACCACCUUCAUAACCCAAGGUUGACCUCGGAUCAGGUAGGAAGACCCGCUGAACUUAAGCAUAUCAAUAAGCGGAGGA